rnacentral:rRNA from 8 species
GUAAAUUAGAGGUAGCUGGAAUAAGUAGUGUAGCGGUGAAAUGCAUAGAUAUUACUUAGAACACCAAUUGCGAAGGCAGGUUACCAUGAUUUAACUGACGCUGAGGGACGAAAGCGUGGGUAGCGAACAGGAUUAGAUACCCUGGUAGUCCACGCCGUAAACGAUGCUAACUCGUUUUUGGGGCGCAAGCCUCAGAGACCAAGCGAAAGUGAUAAGUUAGCCACCUGGGGAGUACGUUCGCAAGAAUGAAACUCAAAGGAAUUGACGGGGGCCCGCACAAGCGGUGGAUUAUGUGGUUUAAUUCGAUGAUACGCGAGGAACCUUACCAAGGCUUAAAUGGGAAAUGACAGGCUUAGAAAUAGGCUCUUCUUCGGACAUUUUUCAAGGUGCUGCAUGGUUGUCGUCAGCUCGUGCCGUGAGGUGUUAGGUUAAGUCCUGCAACGAGCGCAACCCCUGUCACUAGUUGCUAACAUUCAGUUGAGGACUCUAGUGAGACUGCCUACGCAAGUAGAGAGGAAGGUGGGGAUGACGUCAAAUCAUCACGGCCCUUACGCCUUGGGCCACACACGUAAUACAAUGGCCGGU